AUUGGAAUACCCAUUAGGAAAACAAUGGCUAAUGCCGGAUACGCAUGGAACCGCANUGGUUCCGUUGUGAAAGGCGCUGUAAGGCGCCACUAAAAGAUGAGGGUGCGGAACAUUAGUUAGUUGGUGAGGUAAUGGCCCACCAAGACUAUGAUGUUUAGCCGGGUCGAGAGACUGAACGGCCACAUUGGGACUGAGAUACGGCCCAAACUCCUACGGGAGGCAGCAGGC
rnacentral:rRNA from 1 species